rnacentral:rRNA from 1 species
GAUGAACGCUGGCGGCGUGCCUAAUACAUGCAAGUCGAGCGAACGGACGAGAAGCUUGCUUCUCUGAUGUUAGCGGCGGACGGGUGAGUAACACGUGGAUAACCUACCUAUAAGACUGGGAUAACUUCGGGAAACCGGAGCUAAUACCGGAUGAUAUUGUGAACCGCAUGGUUCAAAAGUGAAAGACGGUCUUGCUGUCAUUCAUAGUUGGAUCCCCGCUGCAUUAGCUAGUUGGUAAGGUAACGGUUUACCAAGGCAACAAUGCAUAGCCGACCUGAGAGGUUGAUCGGCCACCCUGGAACUGAGACACGGUCCAGACUCCUACGGGAGGAAGCAGUAGGGAAUCUUCCGCAAUGGGCGAAAGCCUGACGGGGCAACGCCGCGUGAUUGAUGAAGGUCUUCGGAUCGAAAAACUCUGUUAUUAGGGAAGAACAUAUGUGUAAGUAACUGUGCACAUCUUGACGGUACCUAAUCAGAAAGCCACGGCUAACUACGUG